rnacentral:lncRNA from 1 species
UACUUGUACUGGCGGCAGACCUCUCCCGUGGCUCGGUUCUUGUUAUGUCACAGUGCAAGAGAUUAAUUUUGCUCUGAAUCCAGUUUUAGAAUAAAAAUAUGAAAAAAAUCUUAAAUUACGCAGUUUUGUCAAAUAUCUAUGUCUAUGUAUAUAUAACAACUUUUUAAUGCCUACCUAGAAAAAAAAGUGGAGGCGGGUUGGGACCCGACCCCAGGAAGGCCCUGGUCAGAGGAAAAGUGUGGAGGUGGGGUGGGACCGGCAGGAAGCAGGAGCGUCAGCAGUUUCAGAGCGGAAGUGAGCAGUGAGCCAAGGCUGGCGCCGAGCUCGGUGGGCGCUGGUCCCGGCUAGGGUGGGGGGAGCAGACAAGUCCGUUUUUCUAGGCUUUACUUCUCAUCUCAUCUUCACAGUUUCUACCUUUGACCAGGAUAAGCGUUCACGCCUUCCCCACACUUCGGCCCAGCUCCCACUUUUCCUGCAGGGGCCUGUCUGCCUGGUCAGGCAGUUUCUCAGCAAGGCUGUGCAGAGAAGAGGCAGAGAAAGCAGACGCAUGUGGCCGUCCGUGUGGAGUAACAUCUAGGGGGACUGCACUUCUCAUGAGGGGCGGCGCAAAUGCUCUACAUAUAUUAUCUCAUUUAAUAAUAAUCCAUUCUACAUAAGAAUCCUAUGAGGUCAUUUUACAGAAGGAUUUCGGAUGUGAGGUAAUUUUCUCUAAGUCACAUAAUUACUUCG